rnacentral:rRNA from 1 species
AGCAGCCGCGGUAAUUCCAGCUCCAAUAGCGUAUAUUAAAGUUGUUGCAGUUAAAAAGCUCGUAGUUGAAUUUCGGGAUCAAGGAAUCGGUCAUGCCUCGGUAUGUACUGGUUUUAUUGGUUCUCACCUUCUAAAGAACCAUAAUGUCAUUCAUUUGAUGUUAUGGGAAAUUAGGACUGUUACCUUGAAAAAUUAGAGUGUUUAAAGCAGGCUUACGCUUGAAUACAUUAGCAUGGAAUAAUGAAAUAGGACAUCAGAUUCUAUUUUGUUGGUUUCUAGGAUCGAUGUAAUGAUUAAUAGGGAUAGUUGGGGGCAUUAGUAUUCAAUUGUCAGAGGUGAAACUCUUGGAUUUAUUGAAGACUAACUACUGCGAAAGCAUUUGCCAAGGAUGUUUUCAUUAAUCAAGAACGAAAGUUAGGGGAUCGAAGACGAUCAGAUACCGUCGUAGUCUUAACCAUAAACUAUGCCGACUAGGAUCGGAUGAUGUUAAUUUUAUA